AACAGAUCAGGCUGUUCCAUUGAAUUAUUUUGGGGAGAGAUAACAUUAUAAAUUUCAUAUGCAGAAUUUGUCUAGGACAUUGCAAUUUUUUUUUUGUUCAGAAAUUUGUAAUGAUUUUUAAAUUCUAUAUCUAUAUCUAUUUGUUACUUGAAUUUUUGUUACAUUCAAUGAAUGGAGGUUGAGAUGAUGAGUAAAUUAACCCUGUUUUACAUAAUGAUUGACCUGUCCAUGCAGUUAUACAGUUGUGAAUUUUGAAUUCUAAGAUAUCUGGGUCAGCAAAAAGAGUGCUAUUAACAGAGGAUGUACUUGAUAUUUUAACAAUUUUGGAGAUAUACUUUUGUUUAAGAUCUCAAAGUGUUUUAGUAUUGGUAUGAUAAAUAAGUGUGAAAACAUGGGACAAGGAGAUGAACAACAUAAUCAGACUGGGAGUUAAGUGCUGACUGUGAGAUGCAAGGUGUUUCAAUAAAGAUGUGCAGUAUUAAUCCUGAAAAGGUGAGCACAACCACAAGAAGUUCUUGGAAACACAGGCAGUGGACUUAAAACAGACAUCAAUUAAAGAAAUAGUAAUUUAAAUAAUCAGAAACAUUUGAAACAAAUUUAUGAUUGAAACACUCUCAGCAAAAAAAUUGCAAAAAAACAAAGUGUUGGAUUCUAAGAAAACCAGUACCUACCAAAACCUGCAGGUAGAAAAAAACUGUUUGUGUUAUAGUGAAUGUAUGGUAUUCUAUUCUGUAUUUGGACUAAAGGAUAUGUAUUAAAUUUUGUGAAAGAAAAUUUAAUGUGAUACAUUAUUGAUAAUUUUAUCCCAAAAAAAUGUGAUCAUGUUAAACUCAUAAAAAUUCCGCCCCCAUGAAUUCUGUCCCAGAAUUCCGCCCAGAAUUUUGUUUGACAAUUCCGUUCCAAAAUUCCGUUCUGAAAUUCCGCCCCGAGAUUCCGCUUCAAAAUUCCGCCCCAAGAUUCCGCUUCAAAAUUCCGCCCCAAGAUUCCGCUUCAAAAUUCCGCCCCAACUCAUUUGCAUAUUUCGUCCCAAUUCCGCCCAGAAUCCGUCCCGUUUCCGCCUGGAAUCCGGCCGGAAUCCGUGCCAAAAGCAAAUGGUUAACACUU